ensembl:lncRNA
GCAUUUUUAUAGCAGUGCAGGCUGCCCUGGGGUGAUCUACCUCAAGGCCAAUGGUCCACACACCAGUGCUCCCACGUAACCUGCCCAGGCUGCAUCUGGGGAGAUGAGCUCCCCUUCCCAGAGAUCUGAAAUGCCCACGAACUGCCCUGAGCGAAUCCAAGAGGAGCAGUUUAGGUGGGCCUUGCCAGUCCAUCGGAAGCCGAAACAAGAAAAGUCAGACUUCCGCUGAGCAAAUGGGAAUGUUCCAGCAGUCUUCCUCCGUACUGUGGCUGUGUCUUUUCCCAGAGUCCUGCCCGUCAGCUUCCCCACUGGACUUCAAACUUGACAAGACUCUGCAAUCAUGUGAGCCAACUUCAUAGAUUGGAUCUCUCCCCCUUCUCUCAGUAGAAUGAACAUACAUCAUUGUAUAUAACGACCUAUAUACAUAUAACACAUUUUUUCCUAAUAAAAAAUAAUAGCAACAAG